UACCUCAUCAACUGGAAGGAAUCCCUUCUGGUUGAUGAGGUUUAGCUUCCUCAUCAACCAGAGGAGAGUCCUUCCGGUUGAUGAGGUU
rnacentral:miRNA from 1 species